UCGUCGCUGCUUUUGUCAUCUGGCGAGGCGCGGAGGGGAGCAAGGACAGCGGCAUCGAUAGCGGUGCGGGUACUAGUACUAGUACGGGGUAUCCU
rnacentral:SRP_RNA from 16 species